rnacentral:rRNA from 1 species
UCAGGCCUAACACAUGCAAGUCGAGGGGUAUUGUUCAUUUAUGAAUAAGAGACCGGCGUACGGGUGCGUAACGCGUAUGGAAUCUACCUUUUACAGGGGUAUAGCCCGGAGAAAUCCGGAUUAAUCCCCCAUGGUAUUUAUAGGGGGCAUCCUUUAUAGAUUAAAGCUUUAUAGUGGUAAGAGAUGAUCAUGCGUCUUAUUAGCUAGUUGGCAUGGUAAUGGCAUACCAAGGCAACGAUAAGUAGGGGUCCUGAGAGGGAGCUCCCCCACACUGGUACUGAGACACGGACCAGACUCCUACGGGAGGCAGCAGUGAGGAAUAUUGGACAAUGGGCGAGAGCCUGAUCCAGCCAUGCCGCGUGCAGGAUGACGGCCUUAUGGGUUGUAAACUGCUUUUCUGGAGGAAGAAUAAUAUCGAUUUUUCGAUAGAUGACGGUACUUCAGGAAUAAGCAUCGGCUAACUCCGUGCCAGCAGCCGCGGUAAUAUGGAGGAUGCAAGCGUUAUCCGGAAUUAUUGGGUUUAAAGGGUCCGCAGGCGGGAUGUUAAGUCAGUGGUGAAAUGCUCCGGCUCAACCGGCAGAUUUGCCAUUGAUACUGAUAUUCUUGAAUGAUUAAGAAGUAAUUAGAAUGUGUAGUGUAGCGGUGAAAUGCAUAGAUAUUACACAGAAUACCGAUUGCGAAGGCAGGUUACUAUUAAUUCAUUGACGCUGAUGGACGAAAGCGUGGGGAGCGAACAGGAUUAGAUACCCUGGUAGUCCACGCCGUAAACGAUGGAUACUAGCUGUAUAUUAUUCGGUUAGGAUAAUAUGUGGCCAAGCGAAAGUGAUAAGUAUCCCACCUGGGGAGUACGUUCGCAAGAAUGAAACUCAAAGGAAUUGACGGGGGCCCGCACAAGCGGUGGAGCAUGUGGUUUAAUUCGAUGAUACGCGAGGAACCUUACCAAGGCUUAAAUGCAAUACGUAUAUAGUGGAAACACUUUAGUCUUUUGGACGCAUU